AUUGAACGCUGGCGGCAGGCCUAACACAUGCAAGUCGAGCGGAGCGGCGGACGGGUGAGUAAUGCCUAGGAAUCUGCCUGGUAGUGGGGGAUAACGUCAGGAAACGGGCGCUAAUACCGCAUACUAUCAGAUGAGCCUAGGUCGGAUUAGAGAGUUGGGGAGGGAAAGGCCUACCAAGGCGACGAUCCGUAACUGGUCUGAGAGGAGGAUCAGUCAAACUAGAACUGAGACACGGUCCAGACUCCUACGGGAGGUAGCAGUGGGGAAUAUUGGAAAAUGGGCGAAAUCCUGAUCCAGCCAUGCCGCGUGUGUGAAGAAGGUCUUCGGAUUGUAAAGCACUUUAAGUUGGGAGGCGUUACCCACAGAAUAAGCACCGGCUAACUACGUGCCAGCAGCCGCGGUAAGAC
rnacentral:rRNA from 1 species